CUACGGGGGGCUGCAGUGAGGAAUAUUGCACAAUGGGGGAAACCCUGAUGCAGCAACGCCGCGUGGAGGAUGACGCAUUUCGGUGUGUAAACUCCUUUUAUAUGUCAAGAAAAUGACGGUAGCAUAUGAAUAAGCACCGGCUAACUCCGUGCCAGCAGCCGCGGUAAUACGGAGGGUGCAAGCGUUAUUCGGAACCACUGGGCGUAAAGGACGCGUAGGCGGGUUUGCAAGUCAGGUGUGAAAUCCUAUGGCUCAACCAUAGAACUGCACUUGAGACUGCGAACCUAGAGUAUGGAAGGGGCAGAUGGAAUUAGUGGUGUAGGGGUAAAAUCCGUAGAUAUCACUAGGAAUACCAAAAGCGAAGGCGAUCUGCUGGGACAUUACUGACGCUAAGGCGUGAAAGCGUGGGGAGCAAACAGGAUUAGAUACCCGAGUAGUC
rnacentral:rRNA from 1 species